CAAAUCCGUUUCAUAUUCCUACCCAUAAAAAACCUCUUAAAAAAAAUCAAACACUUUACUUUGUCUCUCUCCCUAUACGCUUCUCUUUCCCUUUUUCUCUCUCUCUCUCUCACUCUCUUCUGAAAUGUAUUUCCCAUGCACAAUUUUGAAACAAUUUCUCUCUAUUUGGUUGAAAACUCAGAAAAAUGGCUUCACUGCGUCAAAAUUUCCCGGUUCAAUUUCUCCAAAUGACUCCACCAGCUUUGAAUCUUUCUACUCAAGAUACCCCAAACGCAUCAGAUCAAAUCUCCUUGGGAAACACCAUUACAGUGGGCAGUUAUAGAUUUUAUACAGUUACAAAUAAAUUUCACUUUAUAUUUCUUUAGACAAAAAUCAAAAACAAAAAAUUCAACUUCCUUCUGAUUCAAGUUAUUGUCAAGUUUUUGAGUCAUAUUUCAGUCGAGGAAAUUUUAAUUCUCUCUCUGUACUCUAUUCCUGCAACAACUUUGAAACAUUUUCUCCACACAAGUUUUUCCGUGUUUGCAGAAAUACUCAGAAACAAGACUUCUUUUCUACUUUUUAAAAAUAAUUAAAACAACUAAAUCAAUAUACAUAGCAGCGAAAAUUAUCUGAAAAAAGAAAAAGAAAAUUGAGUGAGAGAGAGAGUCUGUAAGAUUUUGAAAGGUAAGUUUUUACAAAUUUUCCCCUUUAUAUUUCUGGUUCUUAAUUUAUUCUUCUGUUAAUAAAUGGUUGAUUUUGUAUUUACAUAAUUUAGAAUUUGCUAUUAAUUGGCUAAUGAAAUUUGAGGGCAUUUGUCGACGAGGAGGAGGAUAAUCUGUGCUAUAUGUUCAAAGUCCAGCAAGAUUUGGUUUUUGAGAUUAGUUUAAGAUUAGUUUUACAAAAGAAAUACAGUUGACAGAAAUCUGGAUAAAUAAUUAAUGAAAUAGAAAAUAUAUAUAUAUAUAUAUAUAGAUUUUGUUUUUGUUGCAUGUAAUACUAUAGAUGUUGAACAAUUAUUGUAUUACAAUGUUAGGGGUUAAUUCAUUGAAUUUUGUGUCAUUGUUAUUCUGUUUUAGUACAAUGCAGCCAUACAGAUGCGUUGAGAGUUGAAAAGAGUUUUAAUUUCAGUUGUUUCAAGCAUUCGAAUUUAGUUACUUGCUUGGUAAAUCUUUGUUUUAAGGCAUUGAAAUAAAAAAAGAUAUGUUAUCUAUUUGUUUA